CUACGGAGGGUCCGAGCGUUAAUCGGAAUUACUGGGCGUAAAGCGCGCGUAGGCGGCUAUAUAAGUCAGAUGUGAAAUCCCUGGGCUCAACCUAGGAACUGCAUUUGAAACUGUAUGGCUAGAGUAUGGUAGAGGUGAGUGGAAUUUCAGGUGUAGCGGUGAAAUGCGUAGAGAUCUGAAGGAACAUCAGUGGCGAAGGCGACUCACUGGGCCAUUACUGACGCUGAGGUGCGAAAGCGUGGGUAGCAAACAGGAUUAGAAACCCUUGUAGUCC
rnacentral:rRNA from 1 species